CGAAAGCCUGACGGAGCAAGACCGCGUGGGGGAAGAAGGCUCUUGGGUUGUAAACCCCUUUUCUCUGGGAAGAAAGUUGUGAAAGCAACCUGACGGUACCAGAGGAAUCAGCAUCGGCUAACUCCGUGCCAGCAGCCGCGGUAAGACGGAGGAUGCAAGCGUUAUCCGGAAUGAUUGGGCGUAAAGCGUCCGCAGGUGGCAGUUCAAGUCUGCUGUCAAAGACCGGGGCUUAACUUCGGAAAGGCAGUGGAAACUGAACAGCUAGAGUAUGGUAGGGGCAGAGGGAAUUCUGGUGUAGCGGUGAAAUGCGUAGAGAUCAGGAAGAACAUCGGUGGCGAAGGCGCUCUGCUGGACCAUAACUGACACUCAGGGACGAAAGCUAGGGGAGCG
rnacentral:rRNA from 1 species